UAGUCAGCCUGUACCACGUAGAAAGCCUCUUGCAUCAAUUUGAGGAUUACCGAUCAUCACUGAUCAUUACCCAAGGUUAAUAUUUUACGGCGGCUCAUUUUAUUUUGGCUUAAAAAUAAACACAAUUGACCAGUUUCUUUCCCCUGCAUUCUUGAUCGCACAUGUAAAUAGCACGUUGGUCUCAAAUAAGACAGUGAUACAAUGCAACACUUGCCGUCAGUAUUUGAAAAUAUUGAUCAAGAAGGUUGUCAGCAAGAUGAAAAGAACAAAUAUGCAGUUAAAAGUCAAAAUGUGGAUAAGCUUCAUGGUUCAAGGUCCUACCUUUGCAGAUUUUCAUAUUUUGCAUGAAUGAAUUUCAAGUUUAUAUCAUGGACGGCAGUGAAAGAAAAAAAAUCUUUUCAAUUUUCCUGCUACGAAGGAUAAAUGUAAAGACAUCUUGUUUUCGAAGGAUUGAAAUUCAUCACCUAGAAUAAAUGAAGAAAACAUAGAAACAAGACCAGAAUACAUUCAAAGACAAUGUUGGAUCAGUUAUUAUUUUCAUCAGUCAGUCAAUGAUUUAGAGUUC